rnacentral:rRNA from 1 species
AAUCAACGCUGGCGGCGUGCCUAACACAUGCAAGUCGAACGCGAAAGCCCGCAAGGGUAAGUAGAGUGGCGCACGGGUGAGUAACACGUGGACAACCUGCCUUCGAGUGGGGAAUAACCUUCCGAAAGGGGGGCGUAAUACCGCAUAAAACCUCGGAACACAAGUUCUGGGGUUGAAAAGAGCAAUUUGCUCGAAGAGGGGUCCGCGCCUGAUUAGCUAGUUGGUGAGGUAACGGCUCACCAAGGCUUCGAUCAGUAGCCGUCCUGAGAGGGAGCACGGCCACACUGGAACUGAGACACGGUCCAGACUCCUACGGGAGGCAGCAGUGGGG